CGGGCCGUGACUGCCCCCGUUGUGCCCAGCAUUGCCCGGGUGAGGGCUCUGCCUGUUCCUCGGAAGCAGCGUGAUUGCUGUAGAUAGAACAACGCUCCUUCGAGUCCCUUCCUGCGAUGCUGUGUAGGCUUCUAUUCUGCAUCCUGGAUAAUGUUUCCAAGGUGUUGGGAAGGCCUGCGUCUCAGGUCACAAUUGUGGGUGUGACCCUGCGCUGUUCUACGGAACCUACCUCCUCACUGGGCGUGGGCCAGUUUUCCUCUUUUACGGGCCGUCCUCAAAGGCACUCUCAGGACAGACGGCGUGGGGAGCACAGAGGAGGCUGGCAGAGCUGGGGACUCAGGGCAUUGUUGCUAGUUCCCACUCGCCUGGGCAGCCGACCACAGAUGCACAGGUCCCAGGUGCAGGCCGCCACCUCCGGGUCGGCACCAGGACUGCCUUCGGUGCUCAUAGGGAAUGGCUGGGCCCACGGAAGGUCGGCCUCGGAUGUGGCCUGGGACCGCGGCUCUGCUGGCUGCUGUGUGGAUGCUUUUCCUGGAGCACUUUCCAAAGCAUCCCCCAGCCCCGCGCCUGGGCGCGUCCGUCACUCAGGGGCUUUCUAUGGUGUUUGUAGGGGAAGGCCCUGGCUUUGUAUACCCCACAAGGAGCACUGAGUUUCUUAGGAAAUUCGUCUUCAGUAUUAGGUCUUGAACUCUUGUAAAAAGUUUACGUGUAGGAUAAAAACCUUUUAGAGGACACGCAGGCGGUACCCCUAAGGUUUUGCUAAUGAGCCAUUCAGACCGACAGCAGUGUGAAGGUGUGUCAAGGUGUAUAUUCUCGUGGCUCGGCAUUCUCAGUGCACAGGGCUGUUUGGAGACUCGGUGGGAAUUGUUUUUCAUCUGUUUCUAUGGUUGUCAAACGAAUUCUUCACCCACCCUGCAGUUUGUGAACUCCUUGAAGCUAUCAAAUUAGUAAGAGAGGCUGCCCACACCCAGGAGGCACCAUCGCCCACUUAUUAUUUGGUUCUGCGGAUACUCAUGGAACAUCGAUCACAUCCAGCAUUGUCCUAGUGCUUUGGGUUGGACGGGAAUGGGACUCUGCAGCCAAGGCGGGAUAAGAAAAUCUUACAAUCCCGUCCUGCAGUGAUAGAAACAGGUCGUUCUGCAUUAUAAGCCAUUGGUGGAGCAUUCGGUAGCCUAUUCAGACUACAUGGGCCGGCCUAGGAGUCUUUGUCUUCAUAAAUUUUAAGAACCCC